rnacentral:rRNA from 1 species
CAGUCGCCGCGGGAAUACGUAGGUGGCAAGCGUUGUCCGGAUUUAUUGGGCGUAAAGCGAGCGCAGGCGGUCAAUUAAGUCUGAUGUGAAAGCCCCCGGCUCAACCGGGGAGGGUCAUUGGAAACUGGUUGACUUGAGUGCAGAAGAGGAGAGUGGAUUCCAUGUGUAGCGGUGAAAUGCGUAGAUAUAUGGAGGAACACCAGUGGCGAAGGCGACUCUCUGGUCUGUAACUGACGCUGAGGCUCGAAAGCGUGGGUAGCAAACAGGAUUAGAUACCCCCGUAGUCCCUGUCUCUUAUACA